UAUAAAAUGCCUUAUAAUGGCAGACGACAUGACUUGGUGUGUUAUUAAUAUGUUAUUUCAUGAGAGCAGCUUGUUUUAACAUGAUGAGUUUAUUCUUCAAACAUGGAUCUAAAAUAAAGAAUAAAGUCUGAACAUAACAGCUGAACUUUGUUUUUCUUUUUCUCUCAUUUUCAGCUGAAACUCAACAAUUUUCUGACACGACUGCGACGGUUGGAGAUGACGUCACUUUGACUUGUGAAGGUUUCAGAGAAUUUAAUGAUCAAUGUUUCAGUACUACAUGGCUCUACAGUGUCUCAGGAAAAACAGUGACACUGUAUGAACAUGGGAAGAUUCACAGAGAAGCUGGAUCUAAAUCAGACAGACUGAAUGUUACAGAAAAAUGUUUCCUGGUUAUAAAGAAGGUCACAGUGGAGGAUGAAGGUCGUUACACCUGCAGACAGGAUGAAUCAUCAGGAGGUGUCAUUACAUGGUCUACAGUUGUACUUUCUGUUACUAACAGAAGGACCUCGUCACCAGUCCCCCCGAUGUCCACACCACCAUCAACUGGAGCUAAAACUGAAACACAUCCAGGUUGUUGGUGGAGGAUGGUCUAUGUUCCUGUGGCUGUAGCAGCGCUCUCCAUCAUCGUUGUGUCCGUCAGCAUGUGGACGAGAACAAAAGGUUAGCAGUGAUGAGGAUGAUGAUGAAGAUGGUGUGGUGAGCCACACAAAUGACCUGCAGUCAUUUCAAAGUGCAGCAGCUGGAUCUUAACUUGGUUGAAAAUGAGAUUUUUCUUGUCUUGUUGUGUCUUUUCUCUUCCAGAGAACUCACUGUGUUCACAUUGAUCAGGUUUUGUUGUUGGUGUGUUUGUCAGCUCUGACUUAUAAUAACAAUUUAUCCCUAAAUAUCUGAAUAUGUUGUAAAUAAGUUUAUACGCAAAGUUAAACCAGGUUUUUUUUUUCUGUAGUUCAUGUAAGUUGGUACAAACUAUUUUUAAAGAAGCAAUUAAAAAUCCUAGAUAACAACCCGGGAGUAAAUUUUCAUGUAUCUUUACAUUGCAUAAAAUAUUAAACUAUUUGUUAACAAUCAUGGUUUGUGAUUCAUGGUUUCAGAAAUAACUAAAGAUAUUAAAGACCUGAAUAAUCAAUAUGAUCUAUAUUUUCCAUGAAGUUCCACAGGAACAGUCUAAUGAUGAAGUAAUGAUGAAGUGCUGAGUAAUUAGUCUGUAUGAUGCUUCUCUUAACUGGAAGAGACAUCAGAAUAAUGUUGUGUAAGGAUAUAUGGUUUAGAAAUAAGCCCCGCCCCUCCCACAGUAAAUUUAAUUCAUGGACUGUUUAUCUGAAAUGUGUGAUCACAGUUUAGUUCAGUCAGAUACUUAUUGUUGUGUUUUCUGUCCACAGACUGAGUUCAUUGUUUAAGCAAAACUGUUAACAAGGUGUAGUGUCCAAUAUUGGCCACAAGGGGGCGUGUACCAUUCAUAUGGUAAUGAACAGUCUGACCUGCAGAAAGGAAAUACAGUCUUACCUCCUGCUGGCAGUUGGGAAUCUGGAUUUGCUGACAUUGAUUUCUUUGCUGGUGUUUAAUUCCAUUAAAAAAUGAAUAAA